CUGUCUAUAGCUCAGCUGGUAGAGCUGAGGACUGCAGAGUUGCAGCGAUCCUUAGGUCGCUGGUUCGAAUCCGGCUCGACGGA
rnacentral:tRNA from 1 species